UACAGAGGUCUCAAGCGUUUUUCCGAUUCUUUGGGCGUAAAGGGUUCUUAGUUUGCUCCGUAAGUCAGGUGUGAAAUUUCGGAGCUUAACUCCGAAACUGCAUUUGAUACUGCGGUGCUUGAGGACUGGAGAGGAGACUGGAAUUUACGGUGUAGCAGUGAAAUGCGUAGAGAUCGUAAGGAAGACCAGUGGCGAAGGCGGGUCUCUGGACAGUUCCUGACACUGAGGCACGAAGGCCAGGGGAGCAAACGGG
rnacentral:rRNA from 1 species